rnacentral:rRNA from 1 species
AUGGGCAUCGAAACCAGUAAACACGCCAAUGCUUUCCUGCCAAACACUAUGGAUUUCGGUGAACUGGAGAACAUGCUGCAAGCGCCAAGUGUCACACCAAUUUGCCUGCCGGUAGAGUUUCUGAAAGGCAUCACACGCGAUUUUUCUGUCGACCAAGAACUGGGAAGAGGUGGGUUUGGUGUGGUUUACAAGGGAAUACUUCAAAAUGGGAAAAUGAUUGCUGUGAAGAAGCUUUUUGAAAUUCGAGUAGAAGAUGAUCAAUUCCAGAAUGAGGUCACCUAUCUUAUUGGGGUUAAGCACCAAAACGUGGUACAGCUUGUAGGCUACUGCGCUGAAUCACGGUGGGAAGCGACAAAAGUAGGUGGGAGAUAUGUCAUGGCUGAGAUACGGAAGAGAUUGCUCUGCUUUGAGUAUCUAAAAAACAACAGCCUUGAUAAGCAUCUUUCUGCUGAAUCUUGUGGACUUGAGUGGCACAUAAGAUAUGAUAUAAUUAAGGGGGUUUGCAGCGGCUUGCAUUACCUUCACACGGAAUGCCGGAUUGUUCAUUUGGACCUUAAACCCCAAAAUAUAUUGCUGGAUGAUAAUAUGGUCCCCAAGCUUGCAGAUUUUGGCAUGUCUAGGCUCUUUGGCCAACAAGAGUCUCGAGUUAUCACUGAAAGUCGUGGGGGUACACUUGGAUACAUGGCACCAGAGUACAUAACAAAUGGAGUAAUCUCAACCAAGUCGGAUAUAUACAGUUUGGGCAUUAUAAUCGUUGAGCUAAUGACGGGAAGCAGGGAAUAUCCCCAUAGUAGUGAAGCACCGUUUGAGCACUUCAUUGAGAAUAUGGUUGGAAAUUGGAGGCACAUAUUGGAAAAAACAAUGGGGCAUAAAACGCAGGAAAUAUGUUCCCAACAAGUAAACAGAUGCAUUGCAUUGGGACUUAAGUGUCUUAAUCCAGAUCCCAAUGAAAGGCCCUCUGCAUGGGAUAUGUUGCAAACUCUGAAUGAAUUGGAAAGCACGAAUGGUUGUUUUGACAAGAAUGAUGGACCAGCAGUAGUAACUUACGAAUCAGAAGUAGACACAAUUUUAGGGCGGGGCGAUGUAGAUUCCAGCAAUUUAGCCGCAAAAUUCGACAGAAUAUUGAGUAGAGCAUUCGCCCCAGGUUCUGGAAACAUGAGCACUGUUUUCCGCUCUGCUCCCAAAGGAAGAAGGAUAUUGAUCCAAGCUUUUGAGGUUGCCAACACAAUUGUCAUGGCCUCUAAUCUGAUAAAAUCCCUCUCUAAACAAAGAAUAAGGCACCUGAAAGAGGGUGUGCUUAGGUCGGAAGGUGUUCGCUGUCUUAUUUCGGAAGAUUACAGUCAGCUGUCCAUUCUCAUUGAAGAUGAAAUACGAGAAGAGUUGAGACGAUUUUGUAAAGAGGUUGCCCGGUUUGGAGAUCUGUGUGAAGAUCCUCAAUGGCACAAUCUCGAUAGGUAUUUCCGCAGAUGGUUCUGCACUGACAGUGACAUCUAA